UGGGGAAUAUUGCGCAAUGGGGGCAACCCUGACGCAGCCAUGCCGCGUGAAUGAAGGAGGCCUUCGGGUUGUAAAGUUCUUUCGGUAGCGAGGAAGGCAUUUAGUUUAAUAGACUAGGUGAUUGACGUUAACUACAGAAGAAGCACCGGCUAACUCCGUGCCAGCAGCCGCGGUAAUACGGAGGGUGCGAGCGUUAAUCGGAAUAACUGGGCGUAAAGGGCACGCAGGCGGUGACUUAAGUGAGGUGUGAAAGCCCCGGGCUUAACCUGGGAAUUGCAUUUCAUACUGGGUCGCUAGAGUACUUUAGGGAGGGGUAGAAUUCCACGUGUAGCGGUGAAAUGCGUAGAGAUGUGGAGGAAUACCGAAGGCGAAGGCAGCCCCUUGGGAAUGUACUGACGCUCAUGUGCGAAAGCGUGGGGAGCAAACAGGAUUAGAUACCCUGGUAGUCCACGCUGUAAACGAUGUCGAUUUGGGGGUUGAACUUUGAGUUUGGCGCCCGUAGCUAACGUGAUAAAUCGACCGCCUGGGGAGUACGGCCGCAAGGUUA
rnacentral:rRNA from 1 species